rnacentral:rRNA from 1 species
AUAUCGCUAAGCGGAGGAAAAGAAACUAAAUAGGAUUUCCGUAGUAACUGCGAGUGAACUGGAAUUAGCCCAUCACGAAAUCUGUCGAGGCAACUCUUCCGAAAUGUCGUGUAUAGAUGUUACUUAAAAAUGAUAAAAUACAAAUUAAUUACGUUUAAACCCGUAGCCACAGAAGGUGCCAGCCCUGUCGAUUUGUGUAUUAUUAUUUUUGGUAGCUUCUCAGAGUCGUGUUGCUUGAAAGUGCAGCGCAAAGUUGGUGAUAAACAUCAUCUAAGGCUAAAUAUCCCCAUGAGACCGAUAGCGCACAAGUA